AGUGAGGAACAACCCCCCACAAGACGAGAGCUGUAUUUAUUCUGAUGUGAUUCCACACUCUUCAGGUGAUAAUGUGACAUACGCCCAAGUGAACCACCACAAAAAGAGGAAGAAUAAAGCAGAAAACACCUUUGAUGACACCGUUUACUCUCAGAUCAAAUAGGCUCAAACUUGUCAAAGGAGUUUUAAUGGUACGG